AUCACUUCUCGGCCUUUUGGCUAAGAUCAAGUGAAUAUAAAACAGCAAGCAAAAUCUAAAAUUCAGAACCUUUGUUUAGAUUCUGAAAGUAAUGAAGUAUUGCUUUAUUGGGUCUUUUUGUC
ensembl:snRNA U2 U2 spliceosomal RNA